rnacentral:rRNA from 1 species
AUACGGAGGGUGCAAGCAUUAAUCGGAAUUACUGGGCGUAAAGCGCGCGUAGGCGGCUAAUUAAGUCAAAUGUGAAAUCCCCGAGCUUAACUUGGGAAUUGCAUUCGAUACUGGUUAGCUAGAGUGUGGGAGAGGAUGGUAGAAUUCCAGGUGUAGCGGUGAAAUGCGUAGAGAUCUGGAGGAAUACCGAUGGCGAAGGCAGCCAUCUGGCCUAACACUGACGCUGAGGUGCGAAAGCAUGGGGAGCAAACAGGAUUAGAUACCCGAGUAGUCC